AAACUCCAAGAUCACCCCUACCAACUCCCAGAUCACCCCUACAGCCUCCAACUUACGGAAACUUAAUCACCAUUCUUAGCAUCGAUGGUGGUGGAAUAAGAGGAAUCAUACCGGGAACAAUCCUUGGGUUUUUAGAGUCUGAGCUCCAGAAACUGGAUGGAGAGGAUGCAAGAUUAGCAGACUAUUUUGAUGUGAUCACAGGAACUAGCACUGGUGGUCUCGUCACUGCUAUGCUUACAGCACCAAAUGCGCAAAAUCGACCUUUGUUUGCUGCCAAGGACAUCACUGACUUCUAUCUCGAGCACUGCCCUAAAAUCUUCCACCAAGAUCGGUCUCCCUUCGCUCCUGCGGCCAAUCUGGUCAGGUCCUUGGCAGGACCCAAGUAUGAUGGCAAAUAUUUACACCAAAUUGUCAAGGAAAAAUUAGGAGAUAUAAAACUGUACCAGACAUUGACAAAUGUUGUCAUCCCAACGUUUGAUAUCAAGCACCUCCAACCAACUGUUUUCUCCACAUAUGAGGUGAAGAAAAACCCAUCCAUUAAUGCCCUACUCUCGGAUAUUUGCAUUGCAACCUCAGCUGCCCCAACUUAUCUUCCAGCACACCGUUUCGAAACCAAAGAUUCCACAGGAAAAGUAAGGGAAUUCGAUCUUAUUGAUGGAGGCGUGGCUGCUAAUAAUCCGGCUUUGGUGGCUAUGAAUGCUGUGAUGAAAGAAAUUAACCGCGAUAACGCAGACUUCUUCCCCAUAAAGCCAACAGACUAUAGCCGAUUUCUGGUGCUAUCCCUGGGGACGGGUUCACCAAAAAGUGAAGAAAAAUAUCAUGCUGACGAUGCAGCUAAGUGGGGUUUGUUGGGAUGGUUAACCAGUGAACACUCCACUCCGUUGGUGGAUGUGUUUAUGCAAGCCAGCAGCGACAUGGUUGAUUAUCACAUUUCCACCGUUUUUCAGGCUCUUCGCUCCGAAGAAAAUUACAUUCGAAUUCAGGACGAUACACUAAUCGGAAAUCUCUCUUCUGUGGAUAUUGCCACAGAAGAAAACCUGAAGAACCUUGUGAAAGUGGGUGAGGAGUUGCUGAAGAAACGAGUUGCCAGGGUGAACUUGGACACCGGUGCCUUUGAGCCGGCUUACAAGGCUACAAAUGAGGAGGCUCUCAAGAAGUUGGCUAACAUACUGUCCAGGGAGAAACGGCUUCGUGAAAUUAGAUCACCUCAAGGCCAAGGAAAAGCUGUUGCUUCUAAAUGAAGAUGACUAAUUAAUUUUCCUUCUGCUAAUAAACAAGUGUUCAAUAAAUUUCCAGGGGAGAAAGAUUGUUUAUCUUGUAAUUAUAGCUAGGAGGAUUUUCUUCCAAUGAAAUGAGAUAAUACCAUAUCCUGGUUACGUAAUUCAUUUAUUUGUUGACAAUAAAU
rnacentral:misc_RNA from 1 species